rnacentral:misc_RNA from 1 species
CAAAGCAUAUCCUGUCAUCGGUUCGGUGUUCUCCAUCGCCGCCAACAACCGCCGCCGCAUCCACUGGAUCUCCGACAUCCUCCACGCCUCCCCCUCCUCCACCUUCGUCCUCCACCGCGCCUUCGGCUCCCGCCAGGUCUUCACGGCGAACCCCACCGUUGUCCAGCACAUUCUCAAGACCAACUUCCCUGUGUACCCCAAGGGCCUGACUCUGAAUCGGGCCCUUGGAGACUUCCUCGGC